rnacentral:tRNA from 1 species
GGUUCUAUAGCUCAGUUGGUAGAGCAUCACCUUGACAUGGUGGAGGUCACAGGUUCAAGUCCUGUUAGAGCCACCA